AAUUCUAGAAGAAUUGCAAGCAAAAUCGUGAGCAAAAUGCAAAAUAUUGGCUGCAAUUUCAAGUACAUUUGCGAGUAAUUAUUCUUGUGCUCGCAAUAUAGCAAGCAGAUAGGGCUUGCAAACGUAUGCUUUCUUUUUUCAUAGAAAUUUGCGAGAUAAUUUGCAAGCACCUAUGAGUUGAGCUCGCAAAUAUUUUAAAUCCCCCGCCAAUUAUUUGGGCUGACAUCCUAAGUCUCUGCAUUUCAAACCCCAAUUAUUUUGCCUCAAAUUCUUUUUCCCAUUUCUCCAAUUUCCAAAUUCUCUCUUCGUUAUUUCUCCAUUUCUCAAAUUCUCGUUCUGUGCCGCCGGUGUCCUGCUCUGCCACCGGUCGCCCUUGCUCCGCCGCUGGCUUCCUGCUCCGCCAGCAACAGCUUUCAGCUAUCCUUCGUAGCAAGGUUUGCUGGAUUUUCUCCAAUUCGCCCGAUCACAUUUCUCUGAUUUUCUCUGGAUUUUCUUCGAAUUCAUAAACACGUGCUGAGCUUGCUUUUUGGAGUCAUUUUUCGCACUGCAGGCUGCCGAGAGAGGAGUCUCCGCGAUAGAUUGUGUGUAUGACUCGUUCCAUAAUAUACACACGUUCAAGGAUGGGUGGUAUACAUAUAAGAGAACUGCAAACGUUGAUGUUAUGUUAAUACGGCAGCAAAUCAAAGAAUUGCGGGAGCUGGUAAAGGUCCUUAGUCAAAAAGUUCAAGAGAUGAGAAGAAGUGAAAAGAUUUAGCUUGUGUUAGGUUUUGGCAUUUAUAUUUUCUA